UCCCUGGUGGUCCAGUGGCUAAGACCCCAUGCUCCCAAUGGGGGUGGUCCAGGUUCGAUCCCUGGUCAGGGAA
rnacentral:tRNA from 1 species